GACGAACGCUGGCGGCGUGCUUAACACAUGCAAGUCGUACGGUAAGGCCCUUUCGGGGGUCCACGAGUGGCGAACGGGUGAGUAACACGUGAGUAACCUGCCCACAACUUUGGGAUAACGCUAGGAAACUGGUGCUAAUACUGGAUAUGUGCUCCUGCUGCAUGGUGGGGGUUGGAAAGCUCCGGCGGUUGUGGAUGGACUCGCGGCCUAUCAGCUUGUUGGUGGGGUAGUGGCCUACCAAGGCGGCGACGGGUAGCCGGCCUGAGAGGGUGACCGGCCACAUUGGGACUGAGAUACGGCCCAGACUCCUACGGGAGGCAGCAGUGGGGAAUAUUGCACAAUGGGCGCAAGCCUGAUGCAGCAACGCCGCGUGCGGGAUGACGGCCUUCGGGUUGGAAACCGCUUUCAGCAGGGACGAAGCUUUGUGUGACGGUACCUGCAGAAGAAGCACCGGCUAACUACGUG
rnacentral:rRNA from 1 species